GCUUUACCCACUAUUUUCAGCUCAUUCUCCGGUCCUUUUGCUCCAAUUUAGCCAUGAGAGUGUUCAAAAUCAAAUUUCAAGCGAAAGAAAAGAUUUUUACUUUGUUUUGGCAGUCAGAGGUGGUUCCGCCACGGCGACGGGUGGUGGUCGGCUCCCUUCUCUAGCGACUGGUUCUCCUUCUUCGGCGGGGGGCUGGCGGCUAGGGUUAGGGCUCGGUGU
rnacentral:lncRNA from 1 species